rnacentral:rRNA from 1 species
UUGGAUGGUAGUGUAUUGGACUACCAUGGCAAUAACGGGUAACGGAGGAUUAGGGUUCGAUUCCGGAGAGGGAGCCUGAGAAACGGCUACCACAUCUAAGGAUGGCAGCAGGCGCGUAAAUUACCCAAUUCUGAUUCAGAGAGGUAGUGACAAGAAAUAACAGACCGAUACUAUGUAACGGGGUUGCAAUGAGCCGAAUUUUUCUUCCCUUGGUGAGGAGCAAUUGGAGGGCAAGUCUGGUGCCAGCAGCCGCGGUAAUUCCAGCUCCAAUAGCAUAUAUUAAAGUUGUUGCAGUUAAAAAGCUCGUAGUUGGAUUUCUGUGAGAGUAUGAUGUCCUAACGUGUUUAGAGCGCAGAAAACUCUUGCAUCCUUCUGUUACCUCCACGUGGCAUUCGCUUGCCAGUGGUUGGCUCAGAGAAUUUACCUUGAGAAAAUUAGAGUGUUUCAGGCAGGCUUAGUCGGAAUACAUUAGCAUGGAAUAAUAGAAUAGGACUCCGGUCUCGUUGUUGGUUUGAGGGACUGUAGUAAUGAUUAAUAGGGAUAGUUGGGGGCUAUUAGUAUUCGGUUGUCAGAGGUGAAAUUCUCAGAUUUAUUGAAGACUAACUUAUGCGAAAGCUAUUUGCCAAGGAUGUUUUCAUUAAUCAAGAACGAAAGUUAGGGGAUCAAAGACGAUCUGAUACCGUC